rnacentral:rRNA from 1 species
UGGGGAAUAUUGCACAAUGGGCGCAAGCCUGAUGCAGCGACGCCGCGUGCGGGAUGGAGGCCUUCGGGUUGUAAACCGCUUUUGUUCAAGGGCAAGGCACGGUCUUCGGCCGUGUUGAGUGGAUUGUUCGAAUAAGCACCGGCUAACUACGUGCCAGCAGCCGCGGUAAUACGUAGGGUGCAAGCGUUAUCCGGAUUUAUUGGGCGUAAAGGGCUCGUAGGCGGUUCGUCGCGUCCGGUGUGAAAGUCCAUCGCUUAACGGUGGAUCCGCGCCGGGUACGGGCGGGCUUGAGUGCGGUAGGGG